rnacentral:rRNA from 1 species
CUACGUGCCAGCAGCCGCGGUAAUACGGAAGGUCCUGGUGUUAUCCGGAUUUAUUGGGUUUAAAGGGAGCGUAGGCCGUGGAUUAAGCGUGUUGUGAAAUGUAGACGCUCAACGUCUGAAUUGCAGCGCGAACUGGUUCACUUGAGUAUGCACAACGUAGGCGGAAUUCGUCGUGUAGCGGUGAAAUGCUUAGAUAUGACGAAGAACUCCGAUUGCGAAGGCAGCUUACGGGAGCACAACUGACGCUGAAGCUCGAAGGUGCGGGUAUCAAACAGGAUUAGAUACCCUGGUAGUCCGCACAGUAAACGAUGGAUGCCCGUUGUUAGUUCACUUAUGAAUUAGCGACCAAGCGAAAGCAUUAAGCAUCCCACCUGGGGAGUACGCCGGCAACGGUGAAACUCAAAGGAAUUGACGGGGGCCCGCACAAGCGGAGGAACAUGUGGUUUAAUUCGAUGAUACGCGAGGAACCUUACCCGGGCU